GACGAACGCUGGCGGCGUGCCUAAUACAUGCAAGUAGAACGCUGAAGGAGGAGCUUGCUUCUCUGGAUGAGUUGCGAACGGGUGAGUAACGCGUAGGUAACCUGCCUGGUAGCGGGGGAUAACUAUUGGAAACGAUAGCUAAUACCGCAUAAGAGUAGGUGUUGCAUGACAUUUACUUAAAAGGUGCAAUUGCAUCACUACCAGAUGGACCUGCGUUGUAUUAGCUAGUUGGUGAGGUAACGGCUCACCAAGGCAACGAUACAUAGCCGACCUGAGAGGGGGAUCGGCCCCACUGGGACUGAGACACGGCCCAGACUCCUACGGGAGGCAGCAGUAGGGAAUCUUCGGCAAUGGACGGAAGUCUGACCGAGCAACGCCGCGUGAGUGAAGAAGGUUUUCGGAUCGUAAAGCUCUGUUGUAAGAGAAGAACGAGUGUGAGAGUGGAAAGUUCACACUGUGACGGUAUCUUACCAGAAAGGGACGGCUAACUACGUG
rnacentral:rRNA from 1 species